rfam:Pteropus alecto contig110094, whole genome shotgun sequence.
GUCUAUGGCCAUGCCACCCUGAACAAGCCCAAUGUCCAAUCUUGGAAGUUAAGCAGGGUCAGGCCUGGUUAGUAUUUGGAUAGGAGACCAUCUAGAAAGACCAGGUGCUGUAGGCA